rnacentral:rRNA from 1 species
AGUGAACGCUGGCGGUAGGCCUAACACAUGCAAGUCGAACGGCAGCACAGUAAGAGCUUGCUCUUACGGGUGGCGAGUGGCGGACGGGUGAGGAAUACAUCGGAAUCUACUUUUUCGUGGGGGAUAACGUAGGGAAACUUACGCUAAUACCGCAUACGACCUACGGGUGAAAGUAGGGGAUCUUCGGACCUUGCGCGAUUGGAUGAGCCGAUGUCGGAUUAGCUAGUUGGCGGGGUAAAGGCCCACCAAGGCGACGAUCCGUAGCUGGUCUGAGAGGAUGAUCAGCCACACUGGAACUGAGACACGGUCCAGACUCCUACGGGAGGCAGCAGUGGGGAAUAUUGGACAAUGGGCGCAAGCCUGAUCCAGCCAUACCGCGUGGGUGAAGAAGGCCUUCGGGUUGUAAAGCCCUUUUGUUGGGAAAGAAAAGCAGCAGGUUAAUACCCCGCUGUUCUGACGGUACCCAAAGAAUAAGCACCGGCUAACUUCGUG